GCAUUUCCGCACAAACCUGAUGAAAAUGAAGAUGAUAGUUGUUCUGGUAAUCCUGGCGAGUCUUGCAGUGCACUCGGACAGUUGCCCAUGCGUUAAAAGGAACCGUCGUUGUAAUUUGGGCAUCUGGGAACCACAGUGCUGUGAUUCCAUGACUUGUGUGCGACCAAAUGAAUGGGCAUUGUCUGGGAGAUGCGAUAAUGCUGACUGACACUAUGGAGCCUGUGAAUAAAGGGAACAAAACAGUACCUAAGCAAGCAAAGCUGAACAGAAUAUUAAUAUUU